AUUGAACGCUGGCGGCAGGCCUAACACAUGCAAGUCGAGCGGAUGAAGGGAGCUUGCUCCUGGAUUCAGCGGCGGACGGGUGAGUAAUGCCUAGGAAUCUGCCUGGUAGUGGGGGAUAACGUCCGGAAACGGGCGCUAAUACCGCAUACGUCCUGAGGGAGAAAGUGGGGGAUCUUCGGACCUCACGCUAUCAGAUGAGCCUAGGUCGGAUUAGCUAGUUGGUGGGGUAAAGGCCUACCAAGGCGACGAUCCGUAACUGGUCUGAGGGGAUGAUCAGUCACACUGGAACUGAGACACGGUCCAGACUCCUACGGGAGGCAGCAGUGGGGAAUAUUGGACAAUGGGCGAGAGCCUGAUCCAGCCAUGCCGCGUGUGUGAAGAAGGUCUUCGGAUUGUAAAGCACUUUAAGUUGGGAGGAAGGGCAGUAAGUUAAUACCUUGCUGUUUUGACGUUACCAACAGAAUAAGCACCGGCUAACUUCGUG
rnacentral:rRNA from 1 species